AGGGGCGUAGUGAAAUGGUAUCACAGAGGUCUCCAAAACCUUUAGCGGAGGUUCGAUUCCUCCCGCCCCUGCCA
rnacentral:tRNA from 1 species